UUGGGCGUAAGAGCUCGUAGGCGGUUUGUCGCGUCUGCUGUGAAAUCCCGAGGCUCAACCUCGGGCUUGCAGUGGGUACGGGCAGACUAGAGUGCGGUAGGGGAGAUUGGAAUUCCUGGUGUAGCGGUGGAAUGCGCAGAUAUCAGGAGGAACACCGAUGGCGAAGGCAGAUCUCUGGGCCGUAACUGACGCUGAGGAGCGAAAGCGUGGGGAGCGAACAGGAUUAGAUACCCUGGUAGUCCACGCCGUAAACGUUGGGCGCUAGAUGUAGGGACCUUUCCACGGUUUCUGUGUCGUAGCUAACGCAUUAAGCGCCCCGCCUGGGGAGUACGGCCGCAAGGCUAAAACUCAAAGGAAUUGACGGGGGCCCGCACAAGCGGCGGAGCAUGCGGAUUAAUUCGAUGCAACGCGAAGAACCUUACCAAGGCUUGACAUACACCGGAAACGGCCAGAGAUGGUUGCCCCCUUGUGGUCGGUGUACAGGUGGUGCAUGGUUGUCGUCAGCUCGUGUCGUGAGAUGUUGGGUUAAGUCCCGCAACGAGCGCAACCCUCGUUCUAUGUUGCCAGCGCGUUAUGGCGGGGACUCAUAGGAGACUGCCGGGGUCAACUCGGAGGAAGGUGGGGAUGAC
rnacentral:rRNA from 1 species